GUAAAUAUAGUUUAAACAAAACACUAGAUUGUGAAUCUAGCAAUAGAGGUUAAUACCCUCUUAUUUACC
rnacentral:tRNA from 1 species